rnacentral:rRNA from 1 species
GAGUUGAUCGUGGCUCAGAUUGAACGCUGGCGGCAUGCCUUACACAUGCAAGUCGAACGGCAGCACGGGAGCUUGCUCCUGGUGGCGAGUGGCGAACGGGUGAGUAAUGCAUCGGAACGUAUCCUGGAGUGGGGGAUAACGUAGCGAAAGUUACGCUAAUACCGCAUAUUCUGUGAGCAGGAAAGCGGGGGACCUUCGGGCCUCGCGCUCUUGGAGCGGCCGAUGUCGGAUUAGCUAGUUGGUGAGGUAAAGGCUCACCAAGGCGACGAUCCGUAGCAGGUCUGAGAGGAUGAUCUGCCACACUGGAACUGAGACACGGUCCAGACUCCUACGGGAGGCAGCAGUGGGAAUUUUGGACAAUGGGGGCAACCCUGAUCCAGCCAUGCCGCGUGAGUGAAGAAGGCC